GUUUAAUCCGCAAGUCACCGGCUGCUCUUGGCUUCGGUCGACAUUAAUCCAUAAUCCGUGGAUUCGACGGUCGUAGAUGUGGUACGAGUCCGCCUUGCUUU